ACAGACCACCCACACAUACACAUCACAUCCUACCACAACUCUACACUACCCAACACUCAAAAGGGAGUAACAAUAGACCAGAAACCUUUUUUCUCAUCUCACCCUUUUUAUACGCCGUAUCAUUUUUCGUUAAAGUGCAAAAAGCAAGAAAGCAGCCUUUGACGACAACAAAUAAAUUAAAUAUAUUCCGACUGGAAGCAAAGAUUAACAGAUCCUGAAACAUUGGACAGUUAAUUUGCCAGUAAUAACAAAUCAAAGUGGAACACCAAUUGGUCCAACUCCAUGCACAAAUCGCUGCAUUGAGGAAACAUUGAAAAAGCAACUAGAGGAAUUCACCUAAAGAUUAUCCUCAGUGGAAAAACGCAAAAUUUCCACAAACAAUAUCAACAUGGAGACACCCAUAACCAAUAUACCAUAUUCCCACCUCUUCAAUAAACAACGACAAUCAGCACCAGUCCCAAUGGACGUUGAUGAUUCCAGACGAUGAUCUUAGGAGAAGAAAUUAUAACACUAGAAUGAAUACCGUUUACGACCACAAUACAAGCAUCAAUUAGGACCAAAUAAGAAGAUCCGAUAUGGACAACACAUUAUCCACAUCUAAUGCCUGAUCACGAAUUUGUCAAGAAAGAAAUUGAAAAAUUGUUAAAUGGCGGAAUUAUCCAACCAAUAGUUCCAAAAAAAGGUACCGAAAACAAGGGAAAC